GGCACGGCGCGCUGAGGCCGACAACGAGAGGGUUUACUUGGGCAACACCACGCAGAAGACGGCAAGAACCCAUCCGUCUGCAGCGAGGUUGGAGUUUGUACCACAUUGCAGAGCCUGGUACAAAGCCAGCACCUCUCAUGUUCCCUUUUGGCUCACACAGUGCGCUGGUCUCAUGUGCUGCACAGGGAUAAGAUGUGACACUUCAGCAACUUUUGCCUGACAUACAUCUGCUUUUCUGGAGCCCCUUAUCCUGGGGGAUCUCUGGACCUUCAGAUGCCCUUCAGGUAUUAGAUACCCACUGUGUGUGAUUUUCAAGGCAAGGAACUUGAAGCUGCAAUCGAAUAUCUGGACUGGCAGUUCCAUCAUUUGCCUGAUGGAGAUUGGAAAACAAACAGACCCCUCUCCCAUCCUGCCACCAGAAGUGAGACUAAUUAAAGUCAAGACUAAUUUAAGUCAAGACUGUAAAAGUUUACUCUCAAUCUCUGUUCUUGUGGCCUUAAUAACCCUUUCACACAGUUUUUUGGCGGCAAAAAAUAAUUGGCAAUAUUAAAGUUUUAAAGCAACCCAUGGUUCUGUAUCUUCAUUGUCUUCAAAGGAAGCACAAGACAUAAUAAAGAGUAGAAAUUCACUCACUUGAAGCUGAGCUGUGUCCUCAUAAGUUCAGCUAUGCAUAGAUUUUAAAUGUAUGAAAGAAGGAUGUAAGAAAGAAACAAUAACAGAUUCUCUCUGUUCUACUGUCGCCAAAGACAUCACAAACAAAAUAAACUACUUGGACUACAAACAGCUAUGGAUGAAUUAAUAUCUUCUGCCUCCUGAAUGUGCUACAGGAGAUCUCUGCAUUGGAAAUCAACCUUGCACUGUCUGAAUAUGCCCAGAGCUCUCUGAGCUAUCUGCAGCAACACCGGCCACCAGGAAAAACAUAUUUUCUCGAUUUAUUUCCACUCAUUUGUUUAACUUCACUGCCAUCUGCUGUUAAGGAAGAGAACCUGGCCUGCAGGCCUGGGAAGUGGCUGUGAUGUGCCCAGGUUUGGCUUGCCAAAGCACUUCCAACUCUUACCCAAUUUUACUGUGUUGUAAAGGACAGGAAGGAAAUUGUUGUUCAUAAGGUUUGUGUCCUGUGCAUCCCUACCUCAUCCCAGGGAGUGUUUUAUCCCUGUCACACCGUGUGAAUACUCCAGCAGCACCAAGCUAAGUCAUGCCACCAUUCUUUGGGCAUGUUUUCCUUCUGCAUCUUCCUCCCACUUUUGCUCAUGUUCUUUUUGACAGCACUAUUGCCCUAUAUUCCUUCAAACAGAUCCUGGAAAAUGCCAUCUUUUCCACCCAGCAUAAAAGUACAUAGAAUAAGGGCUUGAAAAGUAAUCAGUAAUUAUGCCAUCUCUCAUUUUGUGCAGUGGAAGCACCAUCAGUUUAUCAGGCAGAGAGUGCUGAAGCAGAUGGAUCAUCAGCUUCUGUCAUUCUGUAUGUCUAGAAGUUCCUUCCAGAAUAGUUACUUCAUCCUGGCAUUUUCACUGCAUCUAAAAAAUAACACUCAGUGUGGAUAAUGGGUUGCGUCCAGGAAAAAAAAAUACACUCAACCAAGUGAACAGCAUCCACUCAAAAAAACCCCAGAAAUAUAUAUGUAUAUUUAGGCUAUGAAUUGAAAAAAUAGUCUGCUUAUGGAAAAAGAUGUCAAAAGAGGAAUAUAUUCUGCUACUGAUGGGUGCAGCUAGAGACAGGAAGUCUGUGAAAGCAUGACAUUUUCUAUUGCUUCUUAUGUACAUGUUUCCAGCUCUGACUCAAUGACUUAAUUCUUUGCCCUCAUUCAAUAGGAAACAACAAAACUUUCCUUUGACCACAGCAGGCUUUGGCUGAGACUGCUAGCAAAAUUACAAUGAUAUUUGAGGAUUAACAUAAAUGUUGUGUUCAGAUAGUUAACCUAAUGGCCUUGAAAGGAAAAUGAUAUUACAGUUAUACACAUUUAUUACAAACAGUAAUAUUUUAUUCUGCAAUGUCAAGAAUAGGCUCUGUCAGUGGCAGUUUACUACUCUGGUAUUAAAUCUUUCCUCAUGGCAAUGCUUUCAAUCUCCUUGCUUUUCUGAUUUUCUUUUUUUAAUUACUAAAAGGGCUGAUGAUCAGUACAGAUAUAGAAAAAGCAAGAUAUAGUCUAUGUCCUCUUAAGUCCAAACAAUAAAAUUGCAUUUCAGUCCUGAUCUCAGAAUAUCUGUUGCUAUCAAAGCUAAGUUAUGAACUGAAAAAAUGUAGCUCAAUUUUCAGAUGCUGUGUUAAGUGCAGACCAGGCAGUUAGAAAAUUUUAUUCUGCUUUAUAAAUGGAGUGAAUUUGAUAUGGAGUUCAGUGAAGAAGCAUCAGAAUGGAACACCAACGUGCUGGUUCCUUAGUAGAACAACAUCCCUCAGGGUAGCAAGAUGUAUGUGAAAAAGUCUUGUCCAGCAUCUGGUAACUGUUAGCACAGGAGUAGGUUCUGGUGGGCAGAAUGCAGUGACAUACUCAUGUCCAGAUCUCCUGAAAAACCUCAGUAUGAGAUGUGGAACAAAAGACUGAAAAUGAAAGGGUUAUAUAAAACACUGCAAUAAAAGUUGAGCUAGAGUUCACCAUGGUCUAAGGCCUGAUAUUUUGCUUUUUUUUCCUUUAUGCUCUAUUUCUCCAUAAAUCAUUUUAAAUACUUGUUCUGAACCUAACCCUUUCCCAUGCAUUUCUUUCUUUCCUCAGUUUCUCCUAUGAAACAAAAGGAUGCUGUACUAGAACAUCCAUUCUUCUGCACAACCCAGCAUAUGUGGAGGCAGAAUUCAUGAGCUAGACCUCUUCAGAUCUGGUUCAACAUUUGAAAUUCUGUGUGUUUGCAAGUUUGUGGUACUUGGUAGUUCUGACUUACUACAUGGCACAAGAGCCACCUCUGUCCUUCUCACUUUGGAGCUCCCAGUUCACUUUGUCUCCCUGAAAGCAGCCUUGGCUGUUCUGUCUCUCACAGACCAGCACAGACCUGUUUUCUCUGAGCCAUUCUCUGAGCCACUGUGAAACAUGCUGCUUCACUUCAUACACACUUCCAGAAAUAAAGGCAGGAGAAUCCUGAUGUGGUGUUCUGAUAGAGCAUAUGCACUUGAUUCAUCCUACUUUCUAAAUCAAAAAAUUGCAGGAUUUUUUUUUUUUGCUAUACAAAGGGAAGAGUAUAGUCAAUGGAUUGACUAGAUGACAGCCAGUUAGGGCAGCAAAGACAGACAAAAAAGAAAAUGCACUCUCAGAUUUUUCUUUAAAUCUGCAUUGAAAAGGGAACUGGGAGGUAGUUUCAGCAGAAGAGAUGAAGACAGAGAAAUGGCUUUAAGCUCAGUAUAACAGUAGGCAAGGUAAAAGGUUAAUUAUUCCUUUGGUGGAAGUGAUAGUCCUGAAUUAAUGGGAGUAACUUCAUCUCCUCCCUGGAAGCAGUCCCUGGGUUCAGUCAUUUUUCUGCUCCCCAUGGCUCCAGUUACAGCACUGCUCUGUGCUCUCUGCUCAGCUUCCCACCAGCCCCAGGCUUCCCAAAGUGGAAGGAAGUCAUUUCUGCUGAGUCCAUCAGUAGGAAAUGAAGAGUUUGGCAUGGCUUUUUAGUUAUAAAAAGUCUGAGUAAGAGAACCAACACAUCUCUACAACUGCAGGACAUCACAGCCUGGAGUAUGGUAAGCUGUCAGAGCAAGGCCAAGAGAGGGACACUGGAAGAGGUUAUAUUCCCUCACAGAGACAGAUUUAGGAACCAGGAUGUAGCUGCAUGCCUAUUUCUCAUAGUGAGUAAAACUAACAUGGAUCCCAAGAAAGGAGGCAGCAGCAGUGGGCAGCAGAGCUUGCAGGAGUUUGUAACACUUACCUUGUGACUCAGCUGUGGCUUUAACAGCCAUUCCAAACAAACUGUGCUGGGCAACACUUGGUGCUGUGUCCAGGUGUGCCCCAGGUGUGUGUGUACCUACAGGAACUUUCCUCCUAAUUUCAAAAAGUCAUGGAAAUUACAAGGCAUCCUUUUCCACCUUGUUUCUAGAAGGCAUAGUUCCUGAUAAGAGGGCAUGCUUUGGAGAUAAGCAGUGUAACUCCAAAUCUAUUACUUCCAGUCUUUCAAAAUCAUGAGGAUAUGAACUACUGGAGACAGUGGAGGAAUUGCUAGGAGAAUUCUACAACAAAAGACUUCAUUAGCCUUGAACUGUAAAAAACUCCAACACAGUCACCAGAGUCAGCCAUGCUGCUGCUUUUGAGGUGACUGAUAAGAAAAAUGCUGACAAUCUUGGAGGUAAAUCUUUCUCCUGAGUGUCCCUGCAUAAAGGAUGUGAAGUUGCAUAAUAAGGCAUUGACAAUUCUUAUUUUUAUUAUGAGGCCUUGCAAUAUUUGAUGUUUGUUUAUAGCCCAGCUCCCAGAAUCAAGGGAUUAGGUGAAGUUCUCUGUUUUAAUUAAGGAACAAAGGUUUUCUUCAAUUUUUCCACCCACUGUUGUGAGAUGCUGGGAGGAAGCAAACAUAUCACUUUUCCUUCAUGGUAAUCAUGAGAUGCUCUGUGCUGACUUAUUCAGACAUGCUAUUCAGUUUUAUGCUAGGUGAC